UAUCAAACGUAAAAAUAUUUGAACGUUUUGUUCUUACUCUUUUACAGCUCUGCAGGAGUUCAUCAGCCGAAUGGAUUCUAGAAUAUGCAAUUGAUCUGCUUCAAGUUACAGCUGACCGAAUGAUCUACAUGAGUGUUGAAUGCACCUGGGGAAGGGUUUCUGGAGAAAGAACCCAAUUGCCAAGAAUCAAAGCUGCGCACAAGAAGAUGAAUGCAGGAUGUAUUUCCACCGCGUCUUUCUUAGAAUUUGGCUGAUUUAAAAAGUCUUAUUAAUGUCCUCAUGACUCAUUCAGUCGAAUAAAGAUCGAAUGGGAAGGCCGGUGGUGUAUUGAUAGCGGCGCCGGUCUUCACACGACAGCAGGACCGAUCCAAAAUUUGUCGCGAUCAAUUCCCUGUAGCAAGGAAUGACUAUCCGGGGACGUGAUAAAAUUGAGUCCAGUAAGCCAGAAAUGGCAGGUAUGGCCUUCCAAGGUCGUUACGCCAAGAAGAGGUGGUCGGAAAAUUAGAUUGAUAGAUUGCAUGAUAGUGAUGCCAUUGAUAGUGUUUGGCAAGACAGUUCCAAAUGCAAUACGAAUAUCGAAAGCACGAUUGGGAAUACUUGAAAACCUUUAACACAAUGGUAGCCAAUGGGCUGAUCAUACAACUGCAUCUCAAUCAGGUGAAUUAAGGUCUCAUCUCCACUUGGCCUUGACUGUCUGACACGGCUCGUAAAACUAAAAGAUGAUGGCAGGAGAAGACAAUAUUCGUACGUCGUAAGGUACAGCGUCUUGCCAAAAUAGGAACUUUGACCUUGCGGCGAAGACUGAGCCAUCGAGUAAUAAUAUGUUCAGCUGGCUUUACCAACAUAUUCGAAUGGAGACCAACCAACUGACUUGUGGGCAAUCUAGGCACGAUAGCUGCAUCGAAUCCUAACACAAUUCUGUUAAGGCGACCAGUACUGAAGGGCUUCCUGAUGGACGGUUGUUGGAAUAUCAAGCAAGAUAUGAAAUAGCCUUUAUGAAGAAAGGUUUAGUUCUUUCCAACGGGUUAUGGGCUCAGCACGCUUCCACUGCUGCUCGAGUCCCGCCUGCUUUAGCUCUCGCUUUUUCGCUCGGAGUCAUAUGAUUGGAGAAUGCUUCAGAAAAACCUUAACAACUGUUGUGGGGCGAGACAUCUGUGACUUUAAAACAGAGCUAGGCGGAUUCGGUCGAGUUCCUGAUGUCGAAGACACAAACUCCAACACCUCGUUUAAGUCCAUGGAAUGUGAUUUGUCUGAGUAAAUGGCAGUUGGUUCAAUAACAUCUAGGAGUUCAAAACACCACGCGUGAUAGGGAGCACGAACCAGAUGUCUCCGAUUCUGGUUAUGAUGUCUGCGGGGGGCCAUGUAUCAAUGGGUGAUUUCUCGGGAUAUUUCUGAUUAAACGAAAUGUUUUGUGUUGUCUUCUACAAACGCAAACGGCCUAAUGAUGUGUUAAAAUUGCUUAAAUAUUACAAUUCAUAAAAUCAAUUCUACAGGCCAGUUACUAUUAUAGUGAUCGUAGCAGCGUUUGCAAAGGAAAUUUGUUAUAAAACUACUUGACCUAAUCAGUGGUCGGGCCAUGUUCCGGAAUGCUCUUAGGACUUCAUCAGAUUGCGACGAAAUGUGAAAACUGACAUGCAUCCACUAUCAUCCGUUGGCAAUUUCAUCUGAUGAAAAUGCAGUACAAAUGAAAUAUGCCAUGUUCUUUAUGAUCAUUAUGACGUGGUUUUUGCACCUCAGAAAUGUUAUCGAUUUUUGGUUUUAAUCCCAGAAAGGAAAACAUGUUAAUAAUGUCAAAGGUGGUAUGACAUUCGUUAGUAUACACAUAUUGGGCAAAUAAAGUGUGGUUAAACAUA